GCCAGGCGUGGUGUUGCAUGCCUGUAGUCCCAGCUACUUGGGAGGCUGAGACAGGAGGAUUGCUUGAGUCCAGAAGUUCGGGGCUGUAGUGCACUAUGCUGACUGGGUGCCUGCACUAAGUUUGGCAUCAAUAUGGUGACCUCCCAGGAGCAGGGGACCACCAGGUUGCCUAAGGAAGGGUGAACCAGCCCAGGUCAGAAACAGAGCAGGUCAAAAACUGCUGUUGAUAAUUAACAUAUUCACCAUUGCAUUGUGAAGACAGCAAAUGGGAUAUUUAGGGAAAGCUGUACCUCCU
ensembl:misc_RNA Metazoa_SRP Metazoan signal recognition particle RNA